CCUACGGGAGGCAGCAGUGGGGAAUUUUGGACAAUGGGCGCAGGCCUGAUCCAGCAAUGCCGCGUGCAGGAUGAAGGCCUUCGGGUUGUAAACUGCUUUUGUACGGAACGAAACGGUUCGCUUUAAUACAGUGGGCUAAUGACGGUACCGUAAGAAUAAGCACCGGCUAACUACGUGCCAGCAGCCGCGGUAAUACGUAGGGUGCGAGCGUUAAUCGGAAUUACUGGGCGUAAAGCGUGCGCAGGCGGUGAUGUAAGACAGAUGUGAAAUCCCCGGGCUCAACCUGGGACCUGCAUUUGUGACUGCAUCGCUAGAGUACGGUAGAGGGGGAUGGAAUUCCGCGUGUAGCAGUGAAAUGCGUAGAUAUGCGGAGGAACACCGAUGGCGAAGGCAAUCCCCUGGACCUGCACUGACGCUCAUGCACGAGAGCGUGGGGAGCAAACAGGAUUAGAUACCCUGGGUAGUCCACGCCCUAAACGAUGUCAACUGGUUGUUGGGUCUUCACUGACUCAGUAACGAAGCUAACGCGUGAAGUUGACCGCCUGGGGAGUACGACCGCAAGGUUGAAACUCAAAGGAAUUGACGG
rnacentral:rRNA from 1 species